AGUGGACGCUGGCGGUAGGCCUAACACAUGCAAGUCGAACGGCAGCACAGUAAGAGCUUGCUCUUACGGGUGGCGAGUGGCGGACGGGUGAGGAAUACAUCGGAAUCUACUUUUUCGUGGGGGAUAACGUAGGGAAACUUACGCUAAUACCGCAUACGACCUACGGGUGAAAGCAGGGGAUCUUCGGACCUUGCGCGAUUGAAUGGGCCGAUGUCGGAUUAGCUAGUUGGCGGGGUAAAGGCCCACCAAGGCGACGAUCCGUAGCUGGUCUGAGAGGAUGAUCGGCACCACGGGAACGGAGAAAGGGUCCAGACUCCUACGGGAGGAGGCAGUGGGGAAUAUUGGACAAGGGGCGAAAGCCUGACCCAGCCAUCCCGGGGGGGGGAAGAAGGCCUUCGGGUUGAAAAGCCUUUUUGUGGGAAAAAAAAAGCAGCAGUUUAAUCCCCCGCUGUUCUGACGGUACCAAAAAAAAAAGCCCCGGCUAACUUCGGG
rnacentral:rRNA from 1 species